UACAGAGAUCUCAAGCGUUGUUCGGAUUCAUUGGGCGUAAAGGGUGCGUAGGUGGCGCCGUAAGUCGGGUGUGAAAUUUCGGAGCUUAACUCCGAAACUGCAUUCGAUACUGCGGUGCUUGAGGACUGGAGAGGAGACUGGAAUUCAUGGUGUAGCAGUGAAAUGCGUAGAGAUCAUGAGGAAGACCAGUGGCGAAGGCGGGUCUCUGGACAGUUCCUGACACUGAGGCACGAAAGCGUGGGGAGCAAACAGG
rnacentral:rRNA from 1 species